rnacentral:rRNA from 1 species
AGUGAACGCUGGCGGUAGGCCUAACACAUGCAGGUCGAACGGCAGCACAGUAAGAGCUUGCUCUUACGGGUGGCGAGUGGCGGACGGGUGAGGAAUACAUCGGAAUCUACUUUUUCGGGGGGGUUAACGUAGGGAAACUUACGCUAAUACCGCAUACGACCUACGGGUGAAAGCAGGGGAUAUUCGGACCUUGCGCGAUUGAACGAGCCGAUGUCGGAUUAGCUAGUUGGCGGGGUAAUGGCCCACCAAGGCGACGAUCCGUGGCUGGUCUGAGAGGAUGGUCAGCCACACGAGUAGUUAGACACCGUCCAGGCGCCUACGGGAGGGAGCAGUGGGGAAUAGUAGACAAUGGGCGCAAGCCUGGUCCAGCGAGACCACGUGUGUGAAGAAGGCCUUCGGGUUGUAAAGACCUUUUGUUGGGAAAGAAAAGCAGCAGGUUGAGACCCCGCUGUUCUGACGGUACCCAAAGAAUAAGCACCGGCUAACUUCGUG